CCGCCCAUAGCUCAGCUGGUAGAGCAGGUGGCUCUUAACCACAAGGUCCUAGGUUCGAAUCCUAGUGGGCGGACAA
rnacentral:tRNA from 1 species